AGGGUUGUUGUAGAAAGAUAUGAGUAGAUUUAUUAAAAGGUAAGUAGAGAGAGGCACGAUGAAUACUGUAAAUGCACUUCAGCCACAAAUACCAUCACUUUCAUCUCCUACAAAAAUGAUUCAAAUGCCUAAAUAAAUAAAAUUGAGAUGCUAUGAAAAUCAAAUCUCUUAGAGUAAUAAGUUUCAAUUUAAUAUUAGAGUGUGCCUAUUAAAACUCGGGCUCAUAUAAAGAUGAGUAUAUUUAUCAUCAGAUUAAAUUUUUAUAUAUAGAUUAAUACAUUUUAU
rnacentral:misc_RNA from 1 species